UCUACAUUUAAUCUUUUUAGACGAGCUGAACGUGCAUAGACAUGGAAAUAUGUCCAAAAUAUAUUGCCAAGUUGAGAACAAUAAACUACAAGAUGAGCCACUGUAUUGCACCACAGGGAGAGGGACUCUACCUUAGUCCGGUGAAGAACACAAGCCUACACCCAUUGUGGCCUCUCCAAUCACCUACCUGUACUCAGCGGGACUGAGGACCUUGAUGGCAGGGCUCACUGUAGGAGAGGGUCAAGGUCAAUGGUAAUGUCUGCUAUGGGCUUCACACGUGCCUUGGGAGUGACUGACCCCCCCGGCCAGCCAGGCCACUUGCUGUAAUUGCAACAUUAGCUCCACCCACUUCUUACAUGGUCCCAGAUUCUCAUGUCCUCAGUGAAACAUUGAUCUGUAUUCGGUGUCCAUACCUUUAAGUAGCUAAGGAUAAAUGAAAAGUUAGGUCAGCAUCUCUUGUACAGAGGAGUUCCUUACAAAAUCAAUUCAUAUUGCUUUCAACUAAAGCCAUCGUGUAUUCUGACUGUUAAAUUUAGAAAAUAAAGGGAAAAUUACAAUAGAAAAGAUAAAUAAAAAUGAAUAUGAUGUCAUCAUCCAG
rnacentral:lncRNA from 1 species